rnacentral:rRNA from 1 species
UACGGGGGGGGCAAGCGUUGUUCGGAAUUACUGGGCGUAAAGGGCUCGUAGGCGGCCAACUAAGUCGGACGUGAAAUCCCCAGGCUCAACCUGGGAACUGCGUCCGAUACUGGAUGGCUUGAAUCCGGGAGAGGGAUGCAGAAUUCCAGGUGUAGCGGUGAAAUGCGUAGAUAUCAUCAGGAAUACCGGAGGCGAAGGCGGCUCACUGGGGGUUAUCUGACGCUGAGGAACGAAAGCCAGGGGAGCAAACGGG